CAUUGUAACAGCUUUAUGUUUAAUCAUGCAGGCUUGGCUUUGGGCAGGUUGUUAUGUGAGGCUGCUGAAGUAGUUUCUCCUAUCUAGAUGCUUCCUGAUGCAUUUGAGAGAAUGGAUGUGAUAUCUUCACUUGUUCUACUCUUGCUGAAGAAGAAACUUUUGUCAUGCUUUACUGGUUCCAUUGUGAGACUAUUUUUUACUGGUUUAAUGAGUACCUUGCGGAAUCAAUCAAUGUUAUUAUGGCAGCUAGAAUAUCAUAUGUUGAGUUUUGUCAUUGAUGUUUUGAGCGAUUCUUAUAUAUUGUUAGUCGCUGCAUUUGCUUUGCUGUCUUGUUGCUUAGGGCAGUUGAUUGCCGCUGGAUUAUUUCAUCACUAGAUACAUUGAAUUCAGUUAUCAUGAUGAAAAUUGCCUUAUUUGAACUUAACCAAAUUGAAAAUUCAGAUUUCAAAAUGAACUGCAAAAAAGUCUUGUAUUUUGAUACGGAGAAGUAUGAAUGGAAAGGAAUUCAGACAUGGAUUCUACAUUGAUAGAAUGACAGAACUGUAGAUUGUACUGUUGCAUCCUUCGACAGCCAUUUUGCAUUUGGAAUUAGGUUUGCCCAAUUUUCUGAAAGACUUGAAUUUUGCUCUGUCUUGACUGCUACUGUUUGAAAAUUUGUCGGUCUGGGCUAUUUAUAUUACCGUACGUAUAUUCUGUAAGACAGCAACGCCAUCAGUUAAAAGUUAAUGUCUGUCAGAAGGUACACCUGCAAAAGGCAAGCCAUUGGAGGAAGUCAUCCGAAAACCCAUUCCCAAAGCUUAAAUCCACCCAGUCCCACAACUUAAAUCCAAUAAUUUACCGAAAUACUUCCUUCAUCGCAAAUUAAAUGUCUUUUGUUUAGUAUAACUAAGUGACUUGAAGGGAGUACUAUUUGCAUUUUUCGACAAGUAGGGAGUACAACUUUAAUGACAAUUACUUUAGGACGGAGUGAGUACUAUUCGCUCAGUUCCUUGUUGGCGAGGGAUAAGAGCAUGGCGAACGAGCCUUAGGAUGAUGCCUCCUAGGUCAUAUAGGAUUGGAUGUUAGAAAAAGUAGUGAGUGCUUAGAGAAAAAAUGUGGUCGUUUUGAGGGAAUGGAUAGGUUUUAUUGAUCAGAAGGCACAGUUUGUGGGUAGGGAUGUAAAUGGUACGGAUAAUUUCCGUUCCGAAUCCGCAUCCGCAUCCGUUUUUAAGGAUAUGGUAUGCACUUUCAUAAAUCCGACGGAUACGGAUGCGGAUACGGAUAAUUGUUAACCGGAUAUCCGAUGAAUAUGGUAGCGGAUAUGGUAUCGAUAAUAUCCGAUGGAUGUAGAUUAUCCGGUAUUUUUUGCGGAUUAUGCGGUGUUAUCAAAUAGGAUUAUCCGAUAAAUUUGGUCCAAACGAAAAGCCCAACUACCCAAUUAGAUCGCUGAUCAGAAUGACCACAUAUAAAUAUCAUAUAACCCUAAACCUAAUAGCACCGCCGUAUGACUGUACACAUAAAAUGUACGUACAAGCGCAGAGAAUAGACUUGAGAACACGUACUGUACAAGCUCACUUACAUAGUAUAUAACAUAUUCUGUUAUGAACCAGAGAACACUAUGAACCUAUGAUGGCUAAUGUCUUGCCUGGUGCAGCGUGUAAGUUAUUAAUUUCAUUUAUCAAUAAAAAUUGAUUGGUUACUUCUAUAUUGUUCUUCUUUGCAUUGAUCAUGAUAGAUAUUAUGGACAAGAUGUACAUAGAUUUUAUUUAUCCACUUUCGGUCCGAAUCCGCUCCGCUUCCACUCCGAAUCCGUAGUCUGAUAUAAUUCGUAUUCGAAUCCGCAUCCGGUCAUUAUCCGAUCCGCUCCGAAUCCGACAAAAAAAUAUGGUAAAGGAUAUGGUAAAGGCAUUAUCCGAUCCGAUCCGAUCCGUUUACAUCCCUAUUUGUGGGAUAUAACUAGGAUCAUGGAGAGUAACAAGUCACAGAUGGCGCAAAAUAGGAGAACUUAGCUAAACUGCGAGCCUUGCUAUUCAUGGCGGGGCCUUCAAAGUAAAUUAACAGUUAAACAUUGUAGUUCGAUGAUUGAUUUCGCUGAAGAUGGAUCCAUGCCCGCCAUGAGAUCCUUUGUUGAUGUCAUCCACGGCCUGAUUAGAGUCUGAAGCUAUAAUAACGCUCUGGAGAAAUAGAUCAUCCGCCAAAGACAUUGCCUCCCGGCACGCUAUUAUAGAUCAUCCACUCCCAUUCAUCAUGUAAUUUUCUAGUGAUUGAAAUAUCUAAUUCUAACUUUUCUUCUAAAGCUUUCAUCAUAGCAUCAAUAAUAUGUUUAGUAAAAACUUUAUUUUGUUCAUAAGCAUGAGAUGAAUUUAUUAUGGAUUGCAACAAAAAAAUACAAUCAAUAAACGAGCAACUAUCUCUCCCUAAUAAUAAAGCACGGAUUGACUUUGUCGGGUUCACCCUCACAAUACGCUUUCUUCUUAUGUCAUAAUAUGUUUUUACGAUUUGUAUGGACAAAAUCGUAAUAUAAACGAGAUGGUACUAAUUUAUGUUGUUGUUGUUUUACAUGAGUUGGACUUCUCCCUGAUCAAUCCUGAGUUUUACCAGAUGAUCUCUCGGCCGUCUGGGCAUCGGCCCUCAGUCCACCAAACCCAGCCCAGGCAAAACCGUGUAGUUCGGUGGAGGUGGAAAAAAUAAUGAAGCAGCUACAGGGAGUCGAACUCCCGACCUCCUGUUCGAUGUAUACAAGGAGCAGUCCAACUGACCAAGCGUAUGUUCUUGAAUUAAAGUAAGAUUGGUCGAUAUUAGAUAGUCCCACCUCGCUUUCUUUAGCAAAAUCUCACCAAUUUAAAUACAUCUAUUAGUUGAUACCAAUAAGCCGCCCAUAGAAUUAAUAAGGAGUUUGUCUGCUUCUUCAUGAAAAGAAAAUUAUGAAAUUAACACAAGAAAGACCUGAUUAAACCGGCUCAUACUAAGGAAUCGGAGAAGAAGAAGGGAUUGGCUUGCGUCCAUGGGAAGGAGCAGGGAGGAGUUAAGGCCAACGGGAGCACUCUGGCCGGAGACCGCUGGGUGGAACCCCUGCAUGCGCACGUGCAGGAGGCGGCAUGCGCACGUGCAGGAGGCGGCCAUGGCCUCGCUUCGCUGCAGGAAGCCGAAGGGAGGGCAGAAAACAGGAAGGCAGCUAGCUGGGCCCAAUGAUGCAGCAGGAGAUCGAAUAUAGGGCUCUAUGCUCGGCGGCGCCAUGGCUGCGGCUUGGUCAAGCUCGAGAGAAGGCAGGGGACGAGGUCGGUGUCCAUGGCAGACAGAGGAGACCCGCGGAGGACGGGGGCCUCGAGGCAGAGAAGGGUGCGGGGGGCUGGCGGGGUCGGGUCGCCGAGGCAUCGGACGUGGUGGUGCCUCGAGGUUGCUCUCCUGCGGCCGGUGUCCUCCUGUGACGAGAUAGAUGCUGAGAUAUUCGAUCUCAUGGAGAUCGAGCGCGAGAAGAAAGGAAGGGAGAGCUAGGUCCGCCAAGGUCCGUCACCUCAAGCCGGGUGGGCUUUCUGGUCCGAACGGGCCUUUGAUGAGAUAUAUAUGUAGAUCACAAUAUGCUUAUGUCUCAGAUAUCCUUCAAGAAAAUGUAUAAACUUGGAUUUUGUCUGGCUUGUUGUACACUUCAUUGCUAAUUUAACCUAAUUUAAUUUCUAACCAUGGCAACAAUGCUCAGUUAUUUACAUUAAAGUAUGAUGUUUCCAGAAAUACCUAAGGGGCUGUGGAAAAAUUUAGGUUGUCAAGAAUUGGAAUACAUACUGUUUGCCAAAAUACCGUCCCAAAGUACGUUUCAUCCAUAGUUUUUUUUUCAUCAGAGACUUUUGUCCCGCGUUGACCAUGACUAAAGUAGAUUUAUGUUUUUUGGGAUGACAACAAAGUUCAGGGUGGUCAAGGUGCCUAGGUUUAAUUGAGAAAUGAGAAAGUUGCGAUCAGUUGAAUUUUUUUCUCCAUAGCAAUGUAUGAUCAUUCAACAAUGCAUUUCUUUAUGUAGGCAAAUGCAUGUAUUGUGCAUGUAUGAUACUUUAACAAAUGGAUAAUUUAGUUUUUGUUUAAGACGAAUCUUGAUAGCAUCACAUAUGUGAGUGUGCUCCCAUGACAACGCACGAACACACCAGAUAACAUGGAAGAAUUUUUUUUCUUCCGUUGCAACGCAUGGGCAUUUUUGCUAGUCAUAAUUAAAGUCUUUGUAAUCCAAAAGAGUGGGCACAUCACUAGUUAAAGUUUUGACCUCUUCAAACCCACUUUUAUCAAUUUUCUCAACAAGCUUUUCACCCUUUGAAUUAUCGGGACACCUUCUAGCUAAAGUUGACUCUUCUCCAAUCCCUUUAUCAUCAAUUUAAUUUUGCUAAACAAAGAAUCAAUAGAAAAAACACCAAGCAUUUUAAGAUCUUCAUCACUUUUAUGAAAGCAAUCACUAGAAAACGCUUCUCAAAAUUCUCUUCUAGCUCUAAGCAUAGCGGUUCUUUUCUUACUUUCAUCCACAGAAACAUAAAGAGCUUUAAUUGAUUCUUCUACCUUAGGCACAAAAAUUUUCAUCUUGAGAUUUUAUACAUGAUGAGAAAUUUUAUCAAUACUUUUAGACAUCUCAUCAAUCUUAUUCAGCUUUUCUUCUAUUGUAGCAUUGAAAACUUUUUGAGUAUAGAUAAAUUCUUUAAUAUUAUUCUCAAGAUCAGAGGUGUUCCUAUUAUUAUUAUAAGAAGGAUUACCAUAGGAAUUACCAUACUUAUUAGAGGAACUACUAGUAAAAGGCCUAGGAUUAAAAUUACCUCUAUAAGCCAUGUUAUUGAAAUUGUUUCGCGAGAUAAAAUUCACAUCUAUGGCAUCACUAUUUUGCUCAAUCAAAGUAGACAAAGGCGCAUCAUUAAAAUCAAUAGGGGCACUUUUAUUAGCAACCAAUUUCAUAAGAGCAUCAACUUUUUCACUCAAAGAAGAAAUUUCUCCAACUGAAAAACUUUUUUACUAGUAGGAGUUCUUUCGGUAUGCCAUUGUGAAUAAUUUGCCAUAAUAUUGUCUAGCAAUUUAGUAGCUUCACCCAAAGUAAUUUCCAUAAAAGUACCACCCGCGGCGGAAUCUAAAAGAUUUCUAGAAACAAAAUUCAAUCCGCAUAAAUUUUUUGUAUGAUCAUCCAAAGAUUUAAACCAUGAGUAGGAUAAUUUCUUAGCAUCAAUUUCAUUCUUUCCCAAGAUUGCGCAACAUGUUCAUGCUCAAGUUGCUUAAAAUUCAUGACUUUCAUCCUAAGAGAAAUAAUCUUGCGGGCAGAAAAUACUUGGUAGUAAAAGCAUCCUUGCACUUAUCCCCAGAAUCGAUACUAUUGCGGGGCAAAGAAAAAAACCAAAAUUUUGCACGAUCACACAAAGAAAAUGGGAAUAAUUUCAACUUCACAAUAUCAUUGUCUACAUCUUUAUUCUUUUGCAUAUCGCAUAAUUCCACGAAUGUGUUAAGAUGGGACGCGACAUCCUCACUAGGAGUACCGGAAAGUUGAUCUUUCAUAACAAGAUUCAGCAAAGCGACAUUAAUAUCAAAAGACUCCGCACUAGUGGCGAGAGGAGCAAUCGGAGCACUAAUAAAAUCAUUGUUGUUGGUAUUGGAGAAAGUCAUCGUGACUACGCAACAAGAUUGCACUAAAAAAUAG
rnacentral:lncRNA from 1 species